CGCGGUAAUACAGAGGGUGCAAGCGUUAAUCGGAAUUACUGGGCGUAAAGCGCGCGUAGGUGGUUCGUUAAGUUGGAUGUGAAAUCCCCGGGCUCAACCUGGGAACUGCAUCCAAAACUGGCGAGCUAGAGUAUGGUAGAGGGUGGUGGAAUUUCCUGUGUAGCGGUGAAAUGCGUAGAUAUAGGAAGGAACACCAGUGGCGAAGGCGACCACCUGGACUGAUACUGACACUGAGGUGCGAAAGCGUGGGGAGCAAACAGGAUUAGAUACC
rnacentral:rRNA from 1 species